rnacentral:miRNA from 15 species
UCACUACGUUUUAGCUCGUUAAC